rnacentral:tRNA from 1 species
CGCGGGGUAGAGUAGUGGUUACUCAGCGGCUUCAUAAGCCGUUCACGCAGGUUCGAAUCCUGCCCCCGCUACCA